GUGGUUGUGGCUCAGUGGUAGAACGCUUACCUAGCAUGUGUGAGGCACUGGGUUCAAUUCUCAGCACCACA
rfam:Ictidomys tridecemlineatus contig003534, whole genome shotgun sequence.